AUACGGAGGGUGCAAGCGUUAUCCGGAUUUAUUGGGUUUAAAGGGUGCGUAGGCGGUUAUUUAAGUCAGUGGUGAAAGUUUUCGGCUCAACCGGAAAAUUGCCAUUGAUACUGGGUAGCUAGAAUAUGGUUGCUGUGAGUAGAAUGCGUGGUGUAGCGGGGAAAUGCAUAGAUAUCACACAGAAUACCGAUUGCGAAGGCAUCUCACAAAGCCAUCAUUGACGCUGAGGCACGAAAGUGUGGGGAUCAAACAGGAUUAGAUACCCUGGUAGUCCACACUGUAAACGAUGAUAACUAGCUGUUGGCGAUACACAGUCAGUGGCCAAGCGAAAGCGAUAAGUUAUCCACCUGGGGAGUACGACCGCAAGGUUGAAACUUAAAGGAAUUGACGGGG
rnacentral:rRNA from 1 species